UGGGGAAUUUUGGACAAUGGGGGAAACCCUGAUCCAGCCAUCCCGCGUGUGCGAUGAAGGCCUUCGGGUUGUAAAGCACUUUUGGCAGGAAAGAAACGUCAUGGGUUAAUACCCCAUGAAACUGACGGUACCUGCAGAAUAAGCACGGGCUAACUACGUGCCAGCAGCCGCGGUAAUACGUAGGGUGCAAGCGUUAAUCGGAAUUACUGGGCGUAAAGCGUGCGCAGGCGGUUCGGAAAGAAAGAUGUGAAAUCCCAGAGCUCAACUUUGGAACUGCAUUUUUAACUACCGGGCUAGAGUGUGUCAGAGGGAGGUGGAAUUCCGCGUGUAGCAGUGAAAUGCGUAGAUAUGCGGAGGAACACCGAUGGCGAAGGCAGCCUCCUGGGAUAACACUGACGCUCAUGCACGAAAGCGUGGGGAGCAAACAGG
rnacentral:rRNA from 1 species